UUUGAUGGCAAAUGUCAUUUCUGUUUCAGAAAGGGACAUUUUGUUUCAAAUUGCAAAUUUAAAAAAUUAGCCAAUAGAGGAUGGAAGCAAGUUUGGAUAGCAAAGAAAUCUGUUUUUGACAUUAACCUUCUAGGACCCAAUUUGAAUUGGGGACCUAAAAUAAAAUUCUGAUUGUGUGUUACAGGUGUGCUUGACAUCCACUAAGCAUUCUUGGUAUUUAGAUAGCGGAUGCUCAAAGCACAUGACAGGAGACA
rnacentral:lncRNA from 1 species